rnacentral:lncRNA from 1 species
UUCCUGUGAAUUCUGGAGGCUGCAGCCCAGCGAGCCCGACACGGUCGCCAGCAUGUUUCCCAAGCUCAUUUCUCGAUACUCAGUUUGUGAGCCCCGGGAACUAUCUGCUAGGGCAACACAACUGGUGGGUGCAGAGGCCCUGCAGGCAUCGGCAUAGCUGCAGGGUCUGACGGAUGCAGGCGCGUGCAAUUCUCUAUGUUGGCUACAACAGAAUUAUGGUUGAAAAAGAGGCUGGGCGCAGUGGCUCAUGCCUGUAAUCCCAGCACUUUGGGAGGCUGCAGCAAGAGAAUGGCGUGAACCCAGGAGGCGGAGCUUGCAGUGAGCCGAGAUCACACCACUGCACUCCAGCCUGGGCGACGGAGCGAGACUCCGUCUCAAAUAAAUAAAUAAAUAAAAGAUUUUUGUUGACCACAGCAGCUGGAAUGUGAAGGUGGAAAUGUGGGGAUGCAGCAGUCACAGAGGGGAUCCCAAAUCCUGAGCAUAUGCUGCCCUCGUCACUAGUUGCUCCCACACUACACAUGAGGCAGGGGAGGCGCAGACUUUAAGCCAACUCAAGCUACAAGCAGGGAUUUCAGCUGCUAUCCACCACAGGGGAAAGAGUUUUGGCUCUGAGCUGAGCAAAGGUGAUUGCCUAAUAAAAUGAACCAAAAAAAAGCAAUACUCUUUGGAGGAAU